rnacentral:misc_RNA from 1 species
AGAACAUGUUUAAGUUCUGCAGCCUUCUCCGCAGUUAUUGUAAGAUCUUUUUGAAGCUUCUCAUUACAGAAAUCUUUCAACAAGUGAUCAGCCCGGUAACAGGUCCCGGUUAUCUCAUCCUUGACCAUAAGGUCUGUGAACUUGUCCACAUGACCAGAUGCUUUGAGGACAACCUCAGGCGUCACGCAUGGGCAGUCAACCUCCAACAUAUUCUCCUCGAGAACGAAAUGCUGGCGCCAGAAAGCCAGAACAUUGGACUUAACAGCGCAACCGGGAGGCCCAUAAUCAUAAAGGCCAGCAACACCUCUAUAAAUCUUGAAAGAUGGAAUGUAAAACAAACGCCUUUCAAGAGUGUUAACCACAGCUUGACGAAACGCUUCCCUGUUGACGGAGCCAUCAGGACCAUUACCACUAACGGCAGCUUGUAGCUGCCUCUCGAUCGAUGACUUCUCAAGCUUUAAAGCGUUGAGAGUUUCGAUUGCGGCCUCGAUUUCGGCCUUAGCCACUUUGGCCGCUUUGAGUGAACGGACGGCGUUGCCUUGCGCUUCAACGGCAGAUUGCUUCUCGGCCAGGGCUUUGCGGAGGGAAUCCUCGGUCGCGUCCAUUGGUGGUGAGUGGCGUUUCAAGGGAUAGAUUAGGAUUUGAUAGUUGGACAGUGUAUGGAGUGCGGAAGCUAAGUCGAGCAAAUGAUAGCCAAUGGAACUUGAUCAGGAAAUAAGCAUGCGAGCUCUGCGACCGCACUCC